ACGAACGCUGGCGGCAUGCCUAACACAUGCAAGUCGAACGAGACCUUCGGGUCUAGUGGCGCACGGGUGCGUCACGCGUGGGAACCUGCCCUUAGGUUCGGAAUAACUCCCCGAAAGGGGUGCUAAUACCGGAUAAUGUCUUCGGACCAAAGAUUUAUCGACUUUGGAUGGGCCCGCGUUGGAUUAGCUAGUUGGUAGGGUAAAAGCCUACCAAGGCGACGAUCCAUAGCUGGUCUGAGAGGAUGAUCAGCCACACUGGGACUGAGACACGGCCCAGACUCCUACGGGAGGCAGCAGUGGGGAAUAUUGGACAAUGGGCGAAAGCCUGAUCCAGCAAUGCCGCGUGAGUGAUGAAGGCCUUAGGGUUGUAAAGCUCUUUUACCCGGGAUGAUAAUGACAGUACCGGGAGAAUAAGCUCCGGCUAACUCCGUG
rnacentral:rRNA from 1 species